UCCUGACUGACCGAUAGUGAACCAGUACCGUGAGGGAAAGGCGAAAAGAACCCCGGCGAGGGGAGUGAAAAAGAACCUGAAACCGUGUACGUACAAGCAGUGGGAGCACGCUUAGGCGUGUGACUGCGUACCUUUUGUAUAAUGGGUCAGCGACUUAUAUUCUGUAGCAAGGUUAACCGAAUAGGGGAGCCGAAGGGAAACCGAGUCUUAACUGGGCGUUAAGUUGCAGGGUAUAGACCCGAAACCCGGUGAUCUAGCCAUGGGCAGGUUGAAGGUUGGGUAACACUAACUGGAGGACCGAACCGACUAAUGUUGAAAAAUUAGCGGAUGACUUGUGGCUGGGGGUGAAAGGCCAAUCAAACCGGGAGAUAGCUGGUUCUCCCCGAAAGCUAUUUAGGUAGCGCCUCGUGAAUUCAUCUCCGGGGGUAGAGCACUGUUUCGGCAAGGGGGUCAUCCCGACUUACCAACCCGAUGCAAACUGCGAAUACCGGAGAAUGUUAUCACGGGAGACACACGGCGGGUGCUAACGUCCGUCGUGAAGAGGGAAACAACCCAGACCGCCAGCUAAGGUCCCAAAGUCAUGGUUAAGUGGGAAACGAUGUGGGAAGGCCCAGACAGCCAGGAUGUUGGCUUAGAAGCAGCCAUCAUUUAAAGAAAGCGUAAUAGCUCACUGGUCGAGUCGGCCUGCGCGGAAGAUGUAACGGGGCUAAACCAUGCACCGAAGCUGCGGCAGCGACGCUUAUGCGUUGUUGGGUAGGGGAGCGUUCUGUAAGCCUGUGAAGGUGUGCUGUGAGGUAUGCUGGAGGUAUCAGAAGUGCGAAUGCUGACAUAAGUAACGAUAAAGCGGGUGAAAAGCCCGCUCGCCGGAAGACCAAGGGUUCCUGUCCAACGUUAAUCGGGGCAGGGUGAGUCGACCCCUAAGGCGAGGCCGAAAGGCGUAGUCGAUGGGAAACAGGUUAAUAUUCCUGUACUUGGUGUUACUGCGAAGGGGGGACGGAGAAGGCUAUGUUGGCCGGGCGACGGUUGUCCCGGUUUAAGCGUGUAGGCUGGUUUUCCAGGCAAAUCCGGAAAAUCAAGGCCGAGGCGUGAUGACGAGGCACUACGGUGCUGAAGCAACA
rnacentral:rRNA from 1 species